rnacentral:tRNA from 1 species
GGCCUGAUUGCUCAACUAGUAGAGCACUGCAACAGCAUCACAGAGGUCAGGGAUUCGAUUCCCUGUUCGGGCCU